GACGAACGCUGGCGGCGCGCUUAACACAUGCGAGUCGAACGGAAAGGCCUGCUUUCCCUUGUGGAUUGCGGGUACUCGAGUGGCGAACGGGUGAGUAACACGUGAGUGAUCUGCCCCCAACUUGGGUAUAAGCCUGGGAAACUGGGUCUAAUUCCCGAUAGGACUGCAGGGUGGUGCCUGUGGUGGAAAACGAUUUUCUAGUGGUUGGGGAUGAGCUCGCGGCCUUUCAGCUGGUUGGUGGGGUAAUGGCCUACCAAGGCGGCGACGGGUAGCCGGCCUGAGAGGGUGGACGGCCACAUUGGGACUGAGAUACGGCCCAGACUCCUACGGGAGGCAGCAGUGGGGAAUAUUGCACAAUGGGCGGAAGCCUGAUGCAGCGACGCCGCGUGGGGGAUGACGGCCUUCGGGUUGUAAACUCCUUUCGACCGCGAGGAAGCCACCUGGUUGGAAGGGUGGUGACGGUAGUGGUAGAAGAAGCACCGGCUAACUACGUG
rnacentral:rRNA from 1 species